GAUGUGUAAAGUUUGUGUUAUGAGCCUGGACGAAGCUAGAGCCUGCAAUGGAGCCUUCAUGUAACAAACUAAUCCAGGCUUCUCGGUCAUGUCAAUGUGUUCUCGAGGUGUAGAGGAUGUCCAUGAGAAACAAUGCAACAAACUACCUAGUGCUAAUGUCAUCAUAUUGAGGCUGAGUUGAGCGGCUGGACACACCCGUCUUCCCGACCCAAACGGAAGAACCCGAAAGUCUUGACCUUUAACGUCCGUUUCCUCCACAAGAAACCUCUCUGGUCUAAACUCAUCUGGGUUACUCCAGUUUGCAGGAUCUCGAGCAAUCGCCUGCACGUUGACAUAAACCGUGGCUCCCUUAGGAACUUUGUACCCACCUACCUGAACUGAUUCGCUGGCCUUGUGUGGAAGCAUCAAUGGUGUUGGAGGGUGAAGCCGGAGAGCUUCUUUGAGUACGCAUUGCAGAAACGGCAGUUUUGGGAUAUCUGCAUCAGACAUUAACCGUCCGGAUCCAACCACGGAAUCAAGCUCAUCCUGCACCUUUUCUUUCACGGUCGGGCAUCUGAUCAUCUCUGCCAUUGCCCAUUCAAUAGUUAUGGCGGUUGUGUCAGCUCCUGCAGUUAACAUGUUCCAGACCAGUCCCAUCACAGUCUCCUCGGUCAGCUCAUCCUUCUCUUUCAACUCUAACAGACUCUGAACAAAACACUUUUGAUCUCUUCCUCCAUAUACUUCAUCCAUUACAGCUCGUUUAAACCAAUUUCUUUUCCGAGCCAUGUGCUUCAUGAACGCCUUGUCGCUAGUGAACCAUGACGAAAGACGUUUAAGCCAAACGGUGUAAUCAAGCAUCUUGGUUGCGCCGGGCAAGCGAGUCUCCCUUUCUACAAUUGAUCUAAACUCUCUUCCAUCUUUGGGUUCGAAUGUUUUCCCGAUAACUAAUCUUGAAACAAUGUUCAAAGCAACAGAAUCUAGAUAGUUCC